UACGGAGGGUGCGAGCGUUGUCCGGAAUCACUGGGCGUAAAGGGCGCGUAGGCGGCGCGGGUAGUCAUCGGUGAAAGUUCAGGGCUCAACUCUGAAUCGGCCGGUGAUACUCCCGUGCUCGAGCACUGUAGAGGCAGGUGGAAUUCCGGGUGUAGCGGUGGAAUGCGUAGAGAUCCGGAAGAACACCGGUGGCGAAGGCGGCCUGCUGGGCAGUAGCUGACGCUGAUGCGCGACAGCGUGGGGAGCGAACAGG
rnacentral:rRNA from 1 species